rnacentral:rRNA from 1 species
CCGCGGUAAUACAGAGGGUGCAAGCGUUAAUCGGAAUUACUGGGCGUAAAGCGUGCGUAGACGGUUACGUAAGUCGGGUGUGAAAGCCCCGGGCUCAACCCGGGAAUUGCAUUCGAGACUGUGUAGCUAGGGUGCGGAAGAGGGAAGCGGAAUUUCCGGUGUAGCGGUGAAAUGCGUAGAUAUCGGAAGGAACAUCAGUGGCGAAAGCGGCUUCCUGGUCCAGCACCGACGUUCAGGCACGAAAGCGUGGGGAGCAAACAGG